UUUACAAGAAGCUAUUCUACUUUUGAGGAAAAGUUUCCUGAAAGAGAUGCAAGAAAUGCAGCUAUAGCUGAACUGAAGCUUAAAUCCAGUCAGAUGCAACAUCAUCCACUCUUCUUCUCCAGAUAUCAUCCAGUUCCUCUUCUUCCUCCUGGAACUGCCAAUGAGAAGGUUGUGGUGCUUCAUCCCCAUCUUCUGUAAUUGGAGCAGCAGGAACUUUGCAAGCAUUCCAGAACUGUACACAUCCACAUUCUCUGGAGGGCAGCUAGAAUGAGGGAG